CGGUGAAUGGACGCUUCACCUCCGAGCAGCGCGCCAUCUACGAGAUCGUGCUGCACGCGAAUCUCGCUGCCAUAGACAAGGUACGACCGGGGAACAGCUGGAACGAGCCGCACGCCGCCGCCGUGCGCGUCAUCACUCAGGGCCUGGUGCGGCUCGGUCUGCUACGAGGCCGGGUGGCCGCGCUCGAGCGCUCCGGCGCCUAUCGGCGCUUCUUCAUGCACCGCACCGGGCACUGGCUGGGGAUGGAUGUGCACGACGUGGGCGACUACAAAGUCGGCGACGAGUGGCGCGUACUGGAGCCGGGCAUGGUGUUGACGAUCGAG
rnacentral:misc_RNA from 1 species